rnacentral:rRNA from 1 species
UACGUAGGAGGCGAGCGUUGUCCGGAGUUACUGGGCGUAAAGCGUGCGCAGGCGGUGAUGUAAGACAGAUGUGAAAUCCCCGGGCUCAACCUGGGAACUGCAUUUGUGACUGCAUCGCUGGAGUGCGGCAGAGGGGGAUGGAAUUCCGCGUGUAGCAGUGAAAUGCGUAGAUAUGCGGAGGAACACCGAUGGCGAAGGCAAUCCCCCUGGGCCUGCACUGACGCUCAUGCACGAAAGCGUGGGGAGCAAACAGG